rnacentral:rRNA from 1 species
AAAUAGAACUUUGCAGAGAGAGUUAACAGGGCGUGAAACCGUUAAUUGGCAAACGAAUCGGAGCCACGAAGUCGUUUCGCUGAUAAGUUGGGCCGAGUUCAGCUAAGUAACAAAAUUAUUUAGUGUAUUCUCGUAGUUCAACCUAAAAUUGUAAACGUACACUGCAACCAGUUAGACGAUUGAUGAUGGGCACAGUUAGUUAGGGGGCAACCUCUGGUUAACGAAGCACUUGUCUAUUUUAGUUAGUAAUAGCAUGGCUAUUUCGGUAGUUUGUGUUGUUGGGCUUUAAUAGGUGAACUAUUAUCAAAUACUGACUGGCAAAAUAAAAACCGCUUCUAUGCGUUUUAUAGAAAGCAAUUGUUUAUAUUAGUGUCCACAUAUCUAACCAUGGAGUUUAAGCUCAACAUCUUUGAAUUUGGACUUGCUUGCUACCAAUGGGGCAACUCUUGGUGCUUGUAUAGAUUCAUCUAAUCGGGUGUUGACUUGACUUUAUGUUGUUUAGGUAUGAAACGAUCGGAUGUUAAUAUAAUAUGAUUCGCAAUCAUUAGCAGUGAGUAGGUCGGCUUUCCGAACGACCCGUCUUGAAACACGGACCAAGGAGUCUAAUUAGGCAUCAGUCGAUCGGUCUUGAUAGGCCAGACUGGGAGGUUUUCCUUCCGAUUGAAGGCGUAUAGAAAUCAAAUCAUGUGAUCAUUUGGGUAAAAACAACCCUUAUGCGCAACAUGUGCCUGUUCGUAUAGUAAUGUUAGCAAUAACUUACUGGGCGGAGCAAAAAAAUGCUUGAUUGGUACCCCAAAGAUGGUGAACUAUGCUUGGGCAAAUUGAAGCCAGAGGAAACUCUGGUGGAGGAUUGUAGCGAUUCUGACGUGCAAAUCGAUCGUCAGACCUGAGUAUAGGGGCGAAAGACUAAUCGAACCAUC